AGUCGAGCGGUAGCACAGAGAGCUUGCUCUCGGGUGACGAGCGGGGGACGGGUGAGUAAUGUCUGGGAAACUGCCUGAUGGAGGGGGAUAACUACUGGAAACGGUAGCUAAUACCGCAUAACGUCGCAAGACCAAAGUGGGGGACCUUCGGGCCUCAUGCCAUCAGAUGUGCCCAGAUGGGAUUAGCUAGUAGGUGGGGUAAUGGCUCACCUAGGCGACGAUCCCUAGCUGGUCUGAGAGGAUGACCAGCCACACUGGAACUGAGACACGGUCCAGACUCCUACGGGAGGCAGCAGUGGGGAAUAUUGCACAAUGGGCGCAAGCCCGAUGCAGCCAUGCCGCGUGUAUGAAGAAGGCCUUCGGGUUGUAAAGUACUUUCAGCGAGGAGGAAGGCAUUAAGGUUAAUAACCUUGGUGAUUGACGUUACUCGCAGAAGAAGCACCGGCUAACUCCGUGCCAGCAGCCGCGGUAAUACGGAGGGUGCAAGCGUUAAUCGGAAUUACUGGGCGUAAAGCGCACGGAGGCGGUUUGUUUAGUCAGAUGUGAAAUCCCCGGGCUCAACCUGGGAACUGCAUUUGAAACUGGCAAGCUUGAGUCUUGUAGAGGGGGGUAGAAUUCCAGGUGUAGCGGUGAAAUGCGUAGAGAUCUGGAGGAAUACCGGUGGCGAAGGCGGCCCCCUGGA
rnacentral:rRNA from 1 species